UACCAGCACCCCGAGUGGUCGGGACGAUUAUUGGGCCUAAAGCAUCCGUAGCCGGUUCUGCAAGUCCCCCGUUAAAUCCAGCUGCUCAACAGAUGGGCCGCGGAGGAUACUACAGAGCUAGGAGGCAGGAGAGGCAAGCGGUACUCAGUGGGUAGGGGUAAAAUCCGUUGAUCCAUUGAAGACCACCAGUGGCGAAGGCGGCUUGCCAGAAUGCGCUCGACGGUGAGGGAUGAAAGCUGGGGGAGCAACCCGG
rnacentral:rRNA from 1 species